rnacentral:rRNA from 1 species
UACGAAGGGUGCAAGCGUUACUCGGAAUUACUGGGCGUAAAGCGUGCGUAGGCGGUUUGUUAAGUCCGUUGUGAAAGCCCUGGGCUCAACCUGGGAAUUGCAGUGGAUACUGGCGAGCUAGAGUGCGGUAGAGGAUGGUGGAAUUCCCGGUGUAGCGGUGAAAUGCGUAGAGAUCGGGAGGAACACCCGUGGCGAAGGCGGUUCUCUGGGACGGUACUGACGCUGAGACGCGAAAGCGUGGGGAGCGAACAGG